GCCAUACACUGAUAACAGUGAUUGGAUCACUGCUACUCGAAAGUCAUUGCCACUUAACUCCAUUACUGAAAAGCGGUUAUUGGAGUCACUGCAUAUAACUGGCUAAUAGCUACAUUCUGAUUACAGCUUCAGUGCAAGUCUGUGAUUCAGCGAGCAUGGCUCAGUCAUCGAAACGGCAGAAACACAGCAAGUUAUGGAAUUUCUUUACUACUAUUGAAGGUCACUCUGUCGCAAUAUGUAACGUGUGCAAACGAAAACUAUCUUAUAAGUCGACAACUUCAAAUUUAAAGAAACACUUAACUUCUAACCAUCCAACUGUGGUGUUACUAUCUUCGAUAUCAUCAGCUCAAUCGUCCACUUCACAACCCACAACUUCAGUUCAACUGCCAGCUUCUCACGCAUCACCGAAAGAUUCAAGAUCAACUGAUAUUGAAUUUUCUUCACUUAUCAACAAAAAAUUAACUGACCCUGAGACAGUAACCUCAUUCGACCAAGUAUUUAUACAAGAAAAUGAGGAAAUUACCUUAGAUGGCACUAAGAAUGAAGAAAACAAACUGGAUCUGGAAGUUCUAGAAGGCGCGCAGCUAUGUCUGCCAAGAUCUGCUUCUGUUGAUGACCACAUUGAAAAGUUUGGACAGUUUAUUAUUUCAGAAAUGAAACAAAUUAAAAGCCCUAAAAAUAUUUUAGAAGCAAAAAGAUCCAUUCAGAAUAUUAUUUUUGAUAUACAAACAAGGGAACUUUAUUCAGGUAAUUACAAAUGAAUAUCAUCACAAUUAAAUAUGAUUUUUGAAUGUCAUCAUAACCUGUAAUUUUUAUUUCAUCAGCAUCUUCAACUUCCUGAAAUUACAUAAUGGUAGAAAUUUUUGCUACACUUUUAUUUAUUAUAUAUGAAAAAUUCUAAAUUCCUUCUUAAACAAAGUAAAAACAUACAAAAACAUUAAAAAAAAUUAUUCAUAACAUGAAAUUAGUAAUCCGUAUCAGAAUUUUUUUAUAAUCAAAAAUCUGUAGUGUGACACGCACAAAAGAAAAUGAUCACAUGACUACAUUAAGGUGAAUUAUGUGGUGGAUAACAGUUAUUAAUUGGACUGAACCAGCUCAGCAUACAUAAAGAUGAUAUUCCUAUUCUGAAAACUAUAGCUUUUAACAAGAGAAUACUUUUGAUGAUUAACUCCCAAGAGAGGAUAUGUUUAAAAUCUCAGCAUCAAUUAUGCAAUAUUUCAAAUGAUAACUAUAGACUUUUUAUAUAAAAUAACCAAGUUAAAUUCAGUGAACCUAACCUAACCUUUUCACUGCUAAAUUUGUGGGUUCUGUAGUGGCUCUUCCAGUGCUGAUUUAUUUUAUACAAAUAUUUCAAUGCUAACUAACCAAGAAAUCACUUAACAUUGCCACAGAGUGACAUAAAGAUCAAUUUCUUCAAUCGA